AACGAACGCUGGCGGCAGGCCUAACACAUGCAAGUCGAACGCCGUAGCAAUACGGAGUGGCAGACGGGUGAGUAACGCGUGGGAACCUUCCCAAUGGUACGGAAUAGCUCAGGGAAACUUGGGGUAAUACCGUAUACGCCCGAAAGGGGAAAGAUUUAUCGCCAUUGGAUGGGCCCGCGUAGGAUUAGCUAGUUGGUGAGGUAAUGGCUCACCAAGGCGACGAUCCUUAGCUGGUCUGAGAGGACGACCAGCCACACUGGGACUGAGACACGGCCCAGACUCCUACGGGAGGCAGCAGUGGGGAAUAUUGGACAAUGGGCGAAAGCCUGAUCCAGCCAUGCCGCGUGAGUGAUGAAGGCCUUAGGGUUGUAAUGCUCUUUUGGCGGGGAAGAUAAUGACGGUACCCGCAGAAUAAGCCCCGGCUAACUUCGUGCCAGCCGCCGCGGUAAAAC
rnacentral:rRNA from 1 species